ACCAGACUCCUACGGGAGGCAGCAGUGGGGAAUAUUGCACAAUGGGGGGAACCCUGAUGCAGCGACGCCGCGUGAGUGAAGAAGUAUUUCGGUAUGUAAAGCUCUGUCAGCAGGGAAGAAGAAAGACGGUACCUGACCAAGAAGCCCCGGCUAACUACGUGCCAGCAGCCGCGGUAAUACGUAGGGGGCAAGCGUUAUCCGGAUUUACUGGGUGUAAAGGGAGCGUAGACGGCAUGGCAAGUCAGAUGUGAAAGCCCGGGGCUCAACCCCGGGACUGCAUUUGAAACUGUCAGGCUGGAGUGCAGGAGAGGUAAGUGGAAUUCCUAGUGUAGCGGUGAAAUGCGUAGAUAUUAGGAGGAACACCAGUGGCGAAGGCGGCUUACUGGACUGUAACUGACGUUGAGGCUCGAAAGCGUGGGGAGCAAACAGGAUUAGAUACCCGUGUACG
rnacentral:rRNA from 1 species